rnacentral:rRNA from 1 species
GAUGAACGCUGGCGGCGUGCCUAAUACAUGCAAGUCGAGCGAACAGACGAGGAGCUUGCUCCUCUGACGUUAGCGGCGGACGGGUGAGUAACACGUGGAUAACCUACCUAUAAGACUGGGAUAACUUCGGGAAACCGGAGCUAAUACCGGAUAACAUGUUGAACCGCAUGGUUCAACAGUGAAAGACGGUUUUGCUGUCACUUAUAGAUGGAUCCGCGCCGCAUUAGCUAGUUGGUAAGGUAACGGCUUACCAAGGCAACGAUGCGUAGCCGACCUGAGAGGGUGAUCGGCCACACUGGAACUGAGACACGGUCCAGACUCCUACGGGAGGCAGCAGUAGGGAAUCUUCCGCAAUGGGCGAAAGCCUGACGGAGCAACGCCGCGUGAGUGAAGAAGGUCUUCGGAUCGUAAAACUCUGUUAUUAGGGAAGAACAAAUGUGUAAGUAACUAUGCACGUCUUGACGGUACCUAAUUAGAAAGCCACGGCUAACUACGUG